CGAAAACCAUCAAUCAUAAGCCAGAUGCAAUUUUUUGCUUCAAGAUAAGAACCAAGAAGAAAUAUCAAAUAAAGUUUAUUAUCGUCGAAUCUGAACAAAUGUGAAAAGUCUUUGGCCCGUGUGAUAGGCUCACCGAAUUUACAAACAGAAAAAAACGAAAUUACAAUUAUAAGUUAGUUCACCAAAAACUUCAUCCAGUGAACCAAAGCUUUGAACGGAAGGUUAUUAUUAGGAUCGGCUAUUGGAUCACCAAAAAAACAAAUCUAUUCGAUAAAAGAUAUAACCCCUGGAAAAGUACGUUAAAGCACUGUGCAAAAGCAAAAUUGACUGAGUUGCAGUUCACUGCCUCCAAACAACCCAAUGCUCUUAUUCCACCCAACCAUUGUUGAACCCCAAAAAACUACAGGAGUCCCUAUUGGAUGAGCCGGUUGCAAAAAAAACAAAGGCAGCUCGUAUGGUGAUUGCAGUUUGUUGUGCAUCUGUAUUGAACUUUCUAUUACUGUAUUGUCUGAUUUUUCUGUUAGUUUUAUUUUUGAGUUGCUAUCUUGCACAAUGUUCUCAAAUGGUUUGCAUAGUUGAUGCCUUCUUAAGGUCUUCCAAGUACUGAUAGACAGUUUUUGGAGAUAUGGAACGACCUAUUUAUGCCUUCUUACCAUUUGACUGACUAAAAUAGUCUCUUGGAGUUGCUGUUUAAAUUUAGAAGGUUGAAAGUUGAACUUAGCAUAUAGUUACAUGUUAGCUUGACGUAAACAGAGUUUGAGAUGCUUGUAAAAUUACUGUACAUGUAAGAGCAUAUAUCACAUUUAGGUCUAGUUUCAUCUUUCAUCUGGGUAGUGAAAAAUGCAUAACAUUGUAAAUGAUUCAGAUAAUGCUGGUUCCUAGGUGUGGGAUUUUGCAAUACCCCCUAUACUCAUUUUUAUAUAGGAUUUUGAUCUUGAAAUAGAAAUAGAAGUAUUUUGAUUUCUUUUCAAUUUUGCUUGCUGCUGAUUCAUUUGUUGUAAAUCGGUUUAAAAGUGAAUUGAGAAAGAGUAGAAAAAUGUGGAAACAAGCAUUGGGGCUUGGAAAUGUGCAAGGAAAAACAAAAUUGUCUCUGGUUUCAACCUUUAGGUGACAUCUGAUACUGAUCCAACGUUUAGAAUUAUAGCAUAGCAAGCUCAAUACGCAUAUGGAUGAUGUGAAAGUUCCAACAUUUUAACCAAAAUAAAGCAUGAUGCAGUGUUGACAUGGCUUUUAUUUUUCGUAUUCUUGACUUGAUAAUCAAGUUUGAUAUUCUGAUCAGUGUCAUACCAGAGACAUUAUCUGGUAAAGCAUCAUGUUGAAUCGCUGAAUGCUUUGUGAAGACAAAUGUCUGUGUAGCACAGUUUUCUUACUGCAUGCUUUUGCAAUGAUCCUUAUACAAUAGAAGGAUGGACCCUCAUGCCAGGGAUUAAUUAAUGCGGUAUUUCAUAUGGCUGAGCCAUUGGUUCUGAUAAUUUCUUAUGUUAGAAAUGUCCGGAAAAUAAAAGAACGGAAUUUGUUAUGAUAGAAAAAAAUAACAUUAUAACUAACAACAAUUAAUUGUGUUUGAACGCGCUGCAUCUUUCAAAACUCUGAUGGUGGUGCGCUUGAUUGAAGGUUUGUUCCUGGUGAAAUUAAAGAUGUUUUCUUUUUUAGAUUCUCCUUUUCCUUUGAGUUUAUUUAUAUUUAUACUCAUGUAUAAGUUUUUCCUAUUGGAUUGCUGAUGCUCUCUCAACUGAAAAAAAAAGGAUGAUUGAGGUUCCUUUUUUUUUUUCGUUUUGCCAAUAUGAUUGGUGGUCCAAAUGCCUCAAGGGAAGCGUGGUUGGUAAUUUCUUAAACCGUGAUUGAAAAUCAAAAAUGUCAUUCGUCAAUUGGGUGUGGCAUUAAUGAGUUAGUAUCCCUUACGAGUAGGUGAAGAUGCAUGUUAACUGAAAAAGAAGAUGCAUAUUUAAAGAAUGAAAUUUCAGUCGAUCACAAUUUUCACAUAAAAAGAAUUAACAAAACCCACAGAUGCAUAGGUGAAGGUGCGCAUACGAGUGUUGAUGAAAUGAUUUGGCAUUCUUAGCAAAGCACAAGUUUGAUUUGUUUAUGCAUAUUUGCCUCACAAUAGAAAACCAUAUUUCUGAUUUCCCAACCACACGAAAACCAUCAAUCAUAAGCCAGAUGCAAUUUUUUGCUUCAAGAUAAGAACCAAGAAGAAAUAUCAAAUAAAGUUUAUUAUCGUCGAAUCUGAACAAAUGUGAAAAGUCUUUGGCCCGUGUGAUAGGCUCACCGAAUUUACAAACAGAAAAAAACGAAAUUACAAUUAUAAGUUAGUUCACCAAAAACUUCAUCCAGUGAACCAAAGCUUUGAACGGAAGGUUAUUAUUAGGAUCGGCUAUUGGAUCACCAAAAAAACAAAUCUAUUCGAUAAAAGAUAUAACCCCUGGAAAAGUACGUUAAAGCACUGUGCAAAAGCAAAAUUGACUGAGUUGCAGUUCACUGCCUCCAAACAACCCAAUGCUCUUAU
rnacentral:lncRNA from 1 species